AUGAAAUCGAACUACAUAUUCACACACAUUCAGUACUAGCCUACAUUCUAUAAUGAAGUGGAACACUGAUAAAGGUAUAGUUUAUGGUUUUUAUUUAAAACUGUAUUUUUGAUGACUGCUGUUAGUUAAAACGUCCACUAGAUGGCAUUAUAUGAUCUUGCAUUGCACUAAAACCAGGUAUAUGAGCGUUGCAUUUUGGGAAAUGAAGAUGCUAUGAACGCUAAUGGAGAAAACGCUAACGCUAGCGCGACCUCUUUCAAACCAAAGAAAAACUGACGAGUUCCAGACUGCUCUAAUCAGCGAAUUACAUCUGAGUUCUGUGUGAUUCAAGUGUCUGACAGAAUUGAUGUCAAGGAGGAUUCGGCCUGAUUCAAUGAGGGAUUGAGGAGCAAUUUUUUUCAACUUCAGCCAACUGUUGGAGCAUCACCCAAAGCAGAUAAGGUCGUGGAGGAAAAGACGUUAGUUUGACCAAUAAGCUACAUUGUAGCUUAUGACACAAUUGAAGUGGGCGUCAAUUGUUCCUCCAGCUUUUGGCCCAUUUAAAUGGAGGCCAGUAUCCGGACGAGUCCAGGUUACCUGCUGAUAUCGACAAAGAGAAGCACAGGAUAAAUUGCCACUCAGUGACGGUAUGAAUGUGGGUGCCAAUGGUCGUCUGUCUCUUUGUGUACCCUGUGAUUAAUCAUUUCAGCGUGCUGCCCGUCUUCCAUUGCAAGUAUUGGUGGCUCGGUGGUAGAGUUUUCGCACGCUGCGCGGGAACCCCGAGACUGAUGCCCGGGCACGCCGAUGCAUCUUGGGGUAGCCUUUGCAGCUAGCCUCGCAUCGGGGCAACAGUUCCGCUACGACAACGCGAGCAGACCAGGAUAUACGGUGUUGGAAAUGUCCCACACUACAACAAAUCAUUAUUUUAUCCACACUGGUUUGAGUGCAAUAUUGUUGUGGUUGGUUCGUUGUUUAAAAUGUGUAAAAGAAAUAAUGUUUGUUUUGCAUGUGGGAUGAGAAUUCAGUAAAACGGCCUGUGAGGGACUAACUUGUCCCCCCCCUCCACAGUACUUAAGUUACUGAAUAUGUAUAUAAAAAUGGAUCUUAAGCUACUAUACCGAGUGUGGUUUGAUUGUCAAUAUCAGUUUGCAUAUGACUGAUGAAAAAGGUAAAAUUUCAGAUUUGAAGAAGUCCAUUGGAACUGUUUUGAAAUAAUAAAAAAACCCAUCCCACCUUGU